ensembl:lncRNA
CUUGCACACCUGACAGCUGCAGGGUCCUCUGUGUGCUGCUCUGGCAGGGCUCUCUGGAAUGGGCUUGUCUGAAAUGGUGGAAGCAAAAGGGUUUGGCCGUGUUUUGUGUGGGGAAAAAAAAGGAAGGGGGAAGGGGAGGGAGAAGAAAAGCGGAGGGAAUGGAGAAGGGAAGGGAGAAAGGAAAGGAGGGGAAGGGAGAAAGGAAAGGAAAGGAGGGGAAGGGAGAAAGGAAAGGAGGGGAAGGGAGAAAGGAAAGGAGGGGAGAAGGGAGGGAGGAAAGGGAGUCAGGAAGGGAAGGGAGAUGGGAAAGGAAGGGAAGGGAGAUGGGAAAGGAAGGGAAGUGAGAAAGGAAAGGAAGGGAAGGGAGAAAGGAAGGCAAGGGAGGGAAGGGAGAAAGGAAAAGAGGGGAGAAGGGAGGGAGGAAAGGGAGUCAGGAAGGGAAGGGAGAUGGGAAAGGAAGGGAAGUGAGAAAGGAAAGGAAGGGAAGGGAGUAGAGAAGGGAAGAGGAAAGGAAAAAAAUCAUGAGACAGUGCGAAUUCAGGUAUUGCCAUUUGUGUUUUGAUGCCUGGAAGAGGGCUAUCUGCUGCCAUCUAUUGAUAGGUGGAGAAGACCUAAUGAGCCAACUCAAUCGCGUGAUCAAGUGUUAAUUUCUGGAUAAAUGCAUAGGGCAGAGGGAUAACUGCCUCGGCUGUGUAGCUUUGACACCAGGCUAUGUGUGAGCUGGUAAAGAGCAGCAGGCAGGCAGGGAUGGGGACUGUGUGUUCUGUCUACCGUCAAGCCUUCUCCACAGGGAUGUGAAUGAAAUUCUAAGGCUGGCAUGUGGUCAGGCAGAUCAUCUUGCAAACAAAUGGGUAUUAAUUAAGAACCCAUAAUGUCAUGAUGAGAUCUGCUCUGUUCUGGGGCCUCUGCACACUGCCAGGGAGAUGCCUUUGGCUGAGAUCCUCAGCUGUGAAUGGCACAGCCUGCAACUGGGGCCAUUAGGAUACAAAUGGUAUUGCUGCUGCAGGUUUCAAGGUCACUUCUGGAGGAUGCAAGAAAGGCAGGCUUGGCUGAUUUCUUGUAGGUUUACAGAGAAAGGCUCCUUGAGGAGAGGCUCAGACUACAGUCCUUGCCAGCCUCGUGCAACAAGUUGUCUUUGCUAGAGCUGUCAAUUCCAGCUCUGCCAGCUUUCUCAGAAAUGCAUUUGCUGGUAGUUUCAUAGAAUCACAUUAGAAUCAUGUGGGCUGGAAAAGACAUUCAAGAACAUUGAGUCAAACCACCAACCUGAGCUAGCAAAUCCCACUACUAAACCAUGUCAUCCCUUAGUGCCACAGCCACACAUUUCUUAAAUCCCUCUGGGGAUGGGGACUCCACUGCUUCUCUGGGCAGCCCAUUCUGAUGCUUGACCGCCUUCCUUCUUGAUAUCUAAUCGAUGGGGAAGGAACUUGCAGCACUGGCACUAAGAAGGCAUCCAGUGAUGCAGUGUUUGCCUUGCUGUCUGUGAGCCUGACUGUAUGGUAUCUGCUUUGUGCCACAG